CGAACGCUGGCGGCGUGCUUAACACAUGCAAGUCGAACGGAAAGGCCCUGCUUUUGUGGGGUGCUCGAGUGGCGAACGGGUGAGUAACACGUGAGUAACCUGCCCUUGACUUUGGGAUAACUUCAGGAAACUGGGGCUAAUACCGGAUAGGAGCUCCUGCUGCAUGGUGGGGGUUGGAAAGUUUCGGCGGUUGGGGAUGGACUCGCGGCUUAUCAGCUUGUUGGUGGGGUAGUGGCUUACCAAGGCUUUGACGGGUAGCCGGCCUGAGAGGGUGACCGGCCACAUUGGGACUGAGAUACGGCCCAGACUCCUACGGGAGGCAGCAGUGGGGAAUAUUGCACAAUGGGCGGAAGCCUGAUGCAGCAACGCCGCGUGCGGGAUGACGGCCUUCGGGUUGUAAACCGCUUUCGCCUGUGACGAAGCGUGAGUGACGGUAAUGGGUAAAGAAGCACCGGCUAACUACGUGCCAGCAGCCGCGGUGAUACGUAGGGUGCGAGCGUUGUCCGGAUUUAUUGGGCGUAAAGGGCUCGUAGGUGGUUGAUCGCGUCGGAAGUGUAAUCUUGGGGCUUAACCCUGAGCGUGCUUUCGAUACGGGUUGACUUGAGGAAGGUAGGGGAGAAUGGAAUUCCUGGUGGAGCGGUGGAAUGCGCAGAUAUCAGGAGGAACACCAGUGGCGAAGGCGGUUCUCUGGGCCUUUCCUGACGCUGAGGAGCGAAAGCGUGGGGAGCGAACAGGCUUGGAUACCCUGGUAGUCCACGCUGUAAACGGUGGGUACUAGGUGUGGGGUCCAUUCCACGGGUUCCGUGCCGUAGCUAACGCUUUAAGUACCCCGCCUGGGGAGUACGGCCGCAAGGCUAAAACUCAAAGGAAUUGACGGGGCCCCGCACAAGCGGCGGAGCAUGCGGAUUAAUUCGAUGCAACGCGUAGAACCUUAUCUGGGUUUGACAUGGAUCGGGAGUGCUCAGAGAUGGGUGUGCCUCUUUUGGGGUCGGUUCACAGGUGGUGCAUGGCUGUCGUCAGCUCGUGUCGUGAGAUGUUGGGUUAAGUCCCGCAACGAGCGCAACCCUUGUUCACUGUUGCCAGCACGUUAUGGUGGGGACUCAGUGGAGACCGCCGGGGUCAACUCGGAGGAAGGUGGGGAUGACGUCAAGUCAUCAUGCCCCUUAUGUCCAGGGCUUCACGCAUGCUACAAUGGCUGGUACAGAGAGUGGCGAGCCUGUGAGGGUGAGCGAAUCUCGGAAAGCCGGUCUCAGUUCGGAUUGGGGUCUGCAACUCGACCUCAUGAAGUCGGAGUCGCUAGUAAUCGCAGAUCAGCAACGCUGCGGUGAAUACGUUCCCGGGGCUUGUACACACCGCCCGUCAAGUCAUGAAAGUUGGUAACACCCGAAGCCGGUGGCCUAACCGUUGUGGGGGAGCCGUCGAAGGUGGGACUGGUGAUUAGGACUA
rnacentral:rRNA from 1 species